AGCGAACGCUGGCGGCAGGCUUAACGCAUGCAAGUCGAGCGGGCACUUCGGUGUCAGCGGCAGACGGGUGAGUAACACGUGGGAACGUACCCUUUGGUUCGGAAUAACGCUGGGAAACUAGCGCUAAUACCGGAUACGCCCUUUUGGGGAAAGGCUUGCUGCCGAAGGAUCGGCCCGCGUCUGAUUAGCUAGUUGGUGGGGUAAUGGCCUACCAAGGCGACGAUCAGUAGCUGGUCUGAGAGGAUGAUCAGCCACACUGGGACUGAGACACGGCCCAGACUCCUACGGGAGGCAGCAGUGGGGAAUAUUGGACAAUGGGCGCAAGCCUGAUCCAGCCAUGCCGCGUGAGUGAUGAAGGCCUUAGGGUUGUAAAGCUCUUUUGUCCGGGACGAUAAUGACGGUACCGGAAGAAUAAGCCCCGGCUAACUUCGUG
rnacentral:rRNA from 1 species